rnacentral:rRNA from 1 species
AGAGUUUGAUCAUGGCUCAGAGCGAACGCUGGCGGCAGGCCUAAAACAUGCAAGUCGAACGCCGUAGCAAUACGGAGUGGCAGACGGGUGAGUAACACGUGGGAACGUGCCCUUUGGUUCGGAACAACACAGGGAAACUUGUGCUAAUACCGGAUAAGCCCUUACGGGGAAAGAUUUAUCGCCGAAGGAUCGGCCCGCGUCUGGUUAGCUAGUUGGUGAGGUAACGGCUCACCAAGGCUACGAUCAGUAGCUGGUCUGAGAGGAUGAUCAGCCACACUGGGACUGAGACACGGCCCAGACUCCUACGGGAGGCAGCAGUUAGGAAUCUUGGACAAUGGGCGCAAGCCUGAUCCAGCCAUGCCGCGUGAGUGAUGAAGGCCUUAGGGUUGUAAAGCUCUUUCAGCGGGGAAGAUAAUGACGGUACCCGCAGAAGAAGCCCCGGCUAACUUCGUGCCAGCAGCCGCGGUA